GAACGCUGGCGGCAUGCCUUACACAUGCAAGUCGAACGGCAGCACGGGAGCAAUCCUGGUGGCGAGUGGCGAACGGGUGAGUAAUAUAUCGGAACGUGCCCAGUCGUGGGGGAUAACGUAGCGAAAGCUACGCUAAUACCGCAUACGAUCUAUGGAUGAAAGCGGGGGAUCGCAAGACCUCGCGCGAUUGGAGCGGCCGAUAUCAGAUUAGGUAGUUGGUGGGGUAAAGGCUCACCAAGCCAACGAUCUGUAGCUGGUCUGAGAGGACGACCAGCCACACUGGAACUGAGACACGGUCCAGACUCCUACGGGAGGCAGCAGUGGGGAAUUUUGGACAAUGGACGCAAGUCUGAUCCAGCCAUUCCGCGUGCAGGAUGAAGGCCCUCGGGUUGUAAACUGCUUUUGUACGGAACGAAAAGGUUUCUCUUAAUACGAGGAGCUCAUGACGGUACCGUAAGAAUAAGCACCGGCUAACUACGUG
rnacentral:rRNA from 1 species